UAAUACAUGCAAGUCGAGCGCACCUUCGGGUGAGCGGCGGACGGGUGAGUAACGCGUGGGAACGUGCCCUUUGGUACGGGAUAACUGAGGGAAACUUCAGCUAAUACCGUAUGUGCCCUACGGGGGAAAGAUUUAUCGCCAUUGGAGCGGCCCGCGUUGGAUUAGGUAGUUGGUGGGGUAAAGGCCCACCAAGCCGACGAUCCAUAGCUGGUCUGAGAGGAUGAUCAGCCACACUGGGACUGAGACACGGCCCAGACUCCUACGGGAGGCAGCAGUAGGGAAUCUUGCGCAAUGGGCGAAAGCCUGACGCAGCCAUGCCGCGUGAAUGAUGAAGGUCUUAGGAUUGUAAAAUUCUUUCACCGGGGAAGAUAAUGACGGUACCCGGAGAAGAAGCCCCGGCUAACUUCGUGCCAGCAGCCGCGGUAAUACGAAGGGGGCUAGCGUUGCUCGGAAUUACUGGGCGUAAAGGGCGCGUAGGCGGAUGUUUAAGUCGGGGGUGAAAGCCCGGGGCUCAACCUCGGAAUUGCCUUCGAUACUGGACAUCUUGAGUACGGGAGAGGUGAGUGGAACUCCGAGUGUAGAGGUGAAAUUCGUAGAUAUUCGGAAGAACACCAGUGGCGAAGGCGACUCACUGGCCCGUUACUGA
rnacentral:rRNA from 1 species